UCAUCAGAGGUGUUUGAGGGGGCGGUUUGGCUUGAUGAAUAAAAGCUUAUCAGCAGGAACAAAUACUGCAGACUGAACACUAAAUGGCUAAAUGAACACAUUUGAAAAUGAAUAAUGAAUUGUGUCCAAGUAAGACAGGGCUGACUGCAUGUAGAAUGUUAGGAGAAAUAAUGGUUUUUGUAUUAAGUGGUUUUACAUUAAAAUGAAUGAAGCAAAUGGCAAUAAAACACCAGCAAUUCAACAGAAAUAAAGCAAAAGGAAAGUUUGAAAAGCUUUGGGGGUCCUGGUCGGCUGAGUGGUUCAGCAUCUUUGUCAAUCAGGAAUAGGAUUACUGUGGAGGGACAUUGUGCUGGACAUCAUGGGCUGGAUCAGUGGUGAGGCAGAAAGACAGAGAUGGGCUCAUCAGGGUGACGGCAGGGCGAUGUUUCCACCUGAGCGAUGCUUCCAUGCUGCGGGCCGUGCUUAAUAAGCAGCUGUUCGGUGCGUCGAUGCCCGCCAAGCACUCUCUGGGUCCAUCCAGAAGUCACAAAGUCCAGUUGGACCCUGGACGUAGCGGCAGGAGCAGCAUACCA
rnacentral:lncRNA from 1 species